rnacentral:rRNA from 1 species
GUCGAGCGGCGGACGGGUGAGUAAUGCCUAGGAAAUUGCCCUGAUGUGGGGGAUAACCAUUGGAAACGAUGGCUAAUACCGCAUGAUGCCUACGGGCCAAAGAGGGGGACCUUCGGGCCUCUCGCGUCAGGAUAUGCCUAGGUGGGAUUAGCUAGUUGGUGAGGUAAGGGCUCACCAAGGCAACGAUCCCUAGCUGGUCUGAGAGGAUGAUCAGCCACACUGGAACUGAGACACGGUCCAGACUCCUACGGGAGGCAGCAGUGGGGAAUAUUGCACAAUGGGCGCAAGCCUGAUGCAGCCAUGCCGCGUGUGUGAAGAAGGCCUUCGGGUUGUAAAGUACUUUCAGUCGUGAGGAAGGUGGUGUAGUUAAUAGCUGCAUUAUUUGACGUUAGCGACAGAAGAAGCACCGGCUAACUCCGUGCCAGCAGCCGCGGUAAUACGGAGGGUGCGAGCGUUAAUCGGAAUUACUGGGCGUAAAGCGCAUGCAGGUGGUUUGUUAAGUCAGAUGUGAAAGCCCGGGGCUCAACCUCGGAAUAGCAUUUGAAACUGGCAGACUAGAGUACUGUAGAGGGGGGUAGAAUUUCAGGUGUAGCGGUGAAAUGCGUAGAGAUCUGAAGGAAUACCGGUGGCGAAGGCGGCCCCCUGGACAGAUACUGACACUCAGAUGCGAAAGCGUGGGGAGCAAACAGGAUUAGAUACCCUGGUAGUCCACGCCGUAAACGAUGUCUACUUGGAGGUUGUGGCCUUGAGCCGUGGCUUUCGGAGCUAACGCGUUAAGUAGACCGCCUGGGGAGUACGGUCGCAAGAUUAAAACUCAAAUGAAUUGACGGGGGCCCGCACAAGCGGUGGAGCAUGUGGUUUAAUUCGAUGCAACGCGAAGAACCUUACCUACUCUUGACAUCCAGAGAACUUUCCAGAGAUGGAUUGGUGCCUUCGGGAACUCUGAGACAGGUGCUGCAUGGCUGUCGUCAGCUCGUGUUGUGAAAUGUUGGGUUAAGUCCCGCAACGAGCGCAACCCUUAUCCUUGUUUGCCAGCGAGUAAUGUCGGGAACUCCAGGGAGACUGCCGGUGAUAAACCGGAGGAAGGUGGGGACGACGUCAAGUCAUCAUGGCCCUUACGAGUAGGGCUACACACGUGCUACAAUGGCGCAUACAGAGGGCGGCCAACUUGCGAAAGUGAGCGAAUCCCAAAAAGUGCGUCGUAGUCCGGAUUGGAGUCUGCAACUCGACUCCAUGAAGUCGGAAUCGCUAGUAAUCGUGGAUCAGAAUGCCACGGUGAAUACGUUCCCGGGCCUUGUACACACCGCCCGUCACACCAUGGGAGUGGGCUGCAAAAGAAGUAGGU